GCCCGGAUGGUGAAAUUGGUAGACACGAAGGACUUAAAAUCCUUUGGACUAAUACUCCGUGCCGGUUCGACUCCGGCUCCGGGCA
rnacentral:tRNA from 1 species